rnacentral:rRNA from 1 species
UGCAAGUCGAGCGGAAAGGCCCUUCGGGGUACUCGAGCGGCGAACGGGUGAGUAACACGUGAGUAACCUGCCCCUGACUCUGGGAUAAGCCUGGGAAACCGGGUCUAAUACCGGAUAUGACACUCCUCCGCAUGGUGUGGGUGUGGAAAGUUUUUUCGGUUGGGGAUGGACUCGCGGCCUAUCAGCUUGUUGGUGGGGUGAUGGCCUACCAAGGCGACGACGGGUAGCCGGCCUGAGAGGGCGACCGGCCACACUGGGACUGAGACACGGCCCAGACUCCUACGGGAGGCAGCAGUGGGGAAUAUUGCGCAAUGGGCGAAAGCCUGACGCAGCGACGCCGCGUGGGGGAUGACGGCCUUCGGGUUGUAAACCUCUUUCAGCAGGGACGAAGUUGACGUGUACCUGUAGAAGAAGCGCCGGCUAACUACGUGCCAGCAGCCGCGGUAAUACGUAGGGCGCGAGCGUUGUCCGGAAUUAUUGGGCGUAAAGAGCUCGUAGGUGGCUUGUUGCGUCUGCCGUGAAAGCCCGUGGCUUAACUACGGGUCUGCGGUGGAUACGGGCAGGCUAGAGGCUGGUAGGGGCAAGCGGAAUUCCUGGUGUAGCGGUGAAAUGCGCAGAUAUCAGGAGGAACACCGGUGGCGAAGGCGGCUUGCUGGGCCAGUUCUGACGCUGAGGAGCGAAAGCGUGGGGAGCGAACAGGAUUAGAUACCCUGGUAGUCCACGCUGUAAACGUUGGGCGCUAGGUGUGGGGGUCUUCCACGAUCUCUGUGCCGUAGCUAACGCAUUAAGCGCCC